UCCGUGUUAACCACGGCAGUCUCGUGUGAAAAUCAACACACGAUAAGGGUUGCGCUCGUUACCCCACUGAAGGGAACAUUUCACAACACGAGCUGACGGCAACCAUGCAGCACCUGUCCAACGAUCUCGAAGCUGCCAACGUUUCUGCUGGCAUACAGUUGGAUUUCUAAUCUAGGUAAGGUUCCUCGUUUAGCAUCGAAUUAAACCACACGCUCCACCGCUUGUGCGGGCCCCCGUCUAUUCCUUUGAGUUUUAGCCUUGCGGCCGUACUACCCAGGCGGUCAACUUAACGCGUUAGCUUCGACACUGAGAGAGUCGAUACUCCCAAUGCCUAGUUGACAUCGUUUACGGCAUGGAUUAC
rnacentral:misc_RNA from 1 species